CCUACGGGCGGCUGCAGUGGGGAAUAUUGGACAAUGGGCGAAAGCCUGAUCCAGCCAUGCCGCGUGUGUGAAGAAGGCCUUCGGGUUGUAAAGCACUUUCAGUGGGGAAGAAAGCCUUGGGGCUAAUACCCUCGAGGAAGGACAUCACCCACAGAAGAAGCACCGGCUAACUCCGUGCCAGCAGCCGCGGUAAUACGGAGGGUGCGAGCGUUAAUCGGAAUUACUGGGCGUAAAGCGCGCGUAGGCGGUCUGAUAAGCCGGUUGUGAAAGCCCCGGGCUCAACCUGGGAACGGCAUCCGGAACUGUCAGGCUAGAGUGCAGGAGAGGAAGGUAGAAUUCCCGGUGUAGCGGUGAAAUGCGUAGAGAUCGGGAGGAAUACCAGUGGCGAAGGUGGCCUUCUGGACUGACACUGACGCUGAGGUGCGAAAGCGUGGGUAGCAAACAGGAUUAGAUACCCUGGUAGUC
rnacentral:rRNA from 1 species